rnacentral:rRNA from 1 species
CCUACGGGGGGCUGCAGUGGGGAAUAUUGGACAAUGGGGGCAACCCUGAUCCAGCCAUGCCGCGUGUGUGAAGAAGGCCCUCGGGUUGUAAAGCACUUUCAGUGAGGAAGAACGCCUGGUGGUUAAUACCCAUCAGGAAAGACAUCACUCACAGAAGAAGCACCGGCUAACUCCGUGCCAGCAGCCGCGGUAAUACGGAGGGUGCGAGCGUUAAUCGGAAUUACUGGGCGUAAAGCGCGCGUAGGUGGCUUGAUAAGCCGGUUGUGAAAGCCCCGGGCUCAACCUGGGAACGGCAUCCGGAACUGUCAAGCUAGAGGGCAGGAGAGGAAGGUAGAAUUCCCGGUGUAGCGGUGAAAUGCGUAGAGAUCGGGAGGAAUACCAGUGGCGAAGGCGGCCUUCUGGACUGACACUGACACUGAGGUGCGAAAGCGUGGGUAGCAAACAGGAUUAGAUACCCUGGUAGUC